AUGACAACACUGGGUUCGCCCAGCACGUCAGACGAUAGUGCGGAUGAUUAAGACGACGCCAGAUUGCCAAUCCCCUCGCCGUCGAGGGAUUGGUCGAACACACUACAAACCUUGCACGGUAUCGAUUUUAAAACCCUCAAGCUUCGCCGCAAGGCGACGCUCGAGGGACCCAGAUAUUCACGUACGCAUGUCGCACCGGCUCCAUUGCCUGGUGGCUAUAGCGUCGGUGUCCCACCCGAUCCCAUUCCGAACUCGGCCGUGAAACCCGACUGCGCCAAUGGUACUAUCGCUCAAGCGAUGGAAGAGUAGGUCGUCGCCAGGC
rnacentral:rRNA from 1 species